rnacentral:tmRNA from 1 species
GGGAGCGACUUGGCUUCGACAGGAGUAAGUCUGCUUAGAUGGCAUGUCGCUUUGGACAAAGCGUAAAAAGUCCAAAUUAAAAUUAAACGCAAAUAACGUUAAAUUUGCUCCUGCUUACGCUAAAGCUGCGUAAGUUCAGUUGAGCCCGAAAUUUAAGUCAUACUAUCUAGCUUAAUUUUCGGUCAUUUUUGAUAGUGUAGCCUUGCGUUUGACAAGCGUUGAGGUGAAAUAAAGUCUUAGCCUUGCUUUUGAGUUUUGGAAGAUGAGCGAAGUAGGGUGAAGUAGUCAUCUUUGCUAAGCAUGUAGAGGUCUUUGUGGGAUUAUUUUUGGACAGGGGUUCGAUUCCCCUCGCUUCCACCA